UACAGAGGUGGCAAGCGUUGUUCGGAAUUACUGGGCGUAAAGGGCGCGUAGGCGGUCCCGUCAGUCCCUUGUGAAAUCCCCCGGCUUAACCUGGGAACUGCGUUUGAAACUGGGAGACUUGAGUGUGGCAGAGGGGGGUGGAAUUCCACGUGUAGCAGUGAAAUGCGUAGAUAUGUGGAGGAACACCGAUGGCGAAGGCAGCCCCCUGGGUUAACACUGACGCUCAUGCACGAAAGCGUGGGGAGCAAACAGG
rnacentral:rRNA from 1 species